rnacentral:misc_RNA from 1 species
UUGAAAGGGAGCCCAUGGAAUCAAUUUCCACUGCAGUGUCAAUUUGAGAUUCUGAGUUUAUACCUGCUGCAAUGCUUGAGAAUGAAUCUCUAUCAUCAACAGGUUGGGGCUGCUCCUGACUCCUUCCCAAAAGAUAUGCCUCAAUUAUCCUUUCGGCAAAAGCUGAAGGAUUUGAAGUGUGGGUUGAUGAUCUUUGAGAGUGUGCUUGUGAUCUUCGAAGUAACAGUGAAUGAGGCCGGCGGGCUGACCUUGCAUCAGGGUUACUUGUCCCACUCUGUGUUAAAUCCACUAAGUCAUCAAGAGGUGAAACUGGAGUUUGCUCAGUGCGCAUUCCUCUAAGUGUCAUAAUCCUACUCAGGAACGAAGUCCUAUCUCCCAUUUCACGUGUGCCAUUUGAAUCCUGCACUGGAUUCAAA